AGAAACUUAAGUUAACAAGACUAAAGGCCUUCAAAGCCUUAAGCAGGGGUUAAAAUCCCCUAGUUUCUG
rnacentral:tRNA from 1 species